GACCGGCACACACGCACACAGGUGCGGACACGCAAGCUCUUCAUCAAGCAGUGAAGUCGUGGUGGUGGGGGGGUAGGAGAAGGUGGGGGGGUGUCCGAGCCCCCCACUAACGCCCCCCCCCCCACCCCUUCAAGACUCCCUCAACCACAGCCCCCCACGAAGCAGGUGAAACGCGAGUACAGGUGUAUUGGGACAGAUUUAAAGAGGUGCAAGAAAGUGAUGGUGAUAACAUCGAUCCAUGAGCUGUCUGAGCUGUCUGGAGCCUUGGAAUAAAUCGUCUGCUACGCCUCCAGAAUUUGCAGCUCCAAACUCAACUCCAAGACCCAAGUCCUCGUCAAUUCACGUGUGUGUGUGUGUGUCACAUGUGGCUCAACUAACAUUGUGAUACCAACAUUGAGCCAAAUACAAUUGUCAGAUCUUGGCAGAUUUCGAAAGCUAAGCAGAUUUGAGCCUGGAUAGUGCUUGGAUGGGCGACCACACGCACAAACAGUCUGCCAUAAGUGGCUGCGUGGUUGUGCUACGUGGUGGUCAGCAAAGAGCAGUGUUGCAAAAAACAUAAUUGUACUGUGCUGCUGUGCUCCCACGUUUAUGCUCCGCGCCUUUAGCACACAGCACUGACCAGUGUGGUGAAGUAUGGUCAAGGCGUAGCCCUCAUGACCCGCACGGUGUGGAGAUCAGGCCCUUAUCACACAGUGAAUUAACCAAGGGGCUUCUCAUGCACAUGGGCUGUGCUGCACUAAAGACCGUUAGUAAAUGUGAAACUAGUGGGCAGUUUGUCAUAUUGAAUCCCACUGCCAUAGAUGUUUAAAGGGCCACAGUUUUUUCAAAUGUACCUGCAGGUCGUCCUGAAUCCGGCUGGACUUCCCAAAAAUGGCAAUAGAUGGCGCUGAAGAGUUAUUGUUGGUGAGUCCAUUGACACUGGCUUAAUUAUUAACAGACUUUGCAGUUUUUAUAUUUUUUACGUAAAAUAAUAAAAGGUAACUUUCAGCCACUUACAAAAUUUGGGGGGGGGGGUACAAAAGAAGAAUCUAGAAUAAUCAAAAUGUGACUCCCUGGUGGCAUGCAACCUAAUGCAGAGGCACAAUUUACGUUUUUUUGUGAAGGAGUAUUUCACACAAAUGUCAUGUGAAUUUUGGUAUAUUCAUUAUUAAAAAAUAAAUGCAAAUGUUUAAUUAUAAAGUAGCAAAAUGCAACUGCAGCUCAAGGUGUUGUACAGAUGGAUAAAAAAUCUAAGAGUUGGCGAGAAGGGGUGGGUUUGAGAUUUUUUAACUACAUCUAAAAUUGCGAGGGAAACAAAUAAUUUACAUUUAUAUGGAAGUUAGAUGAGAAGUAAAUAAUACGCAUGGACAUUUCAAUCAAUGACAAAGAGUUCUACUGAUUGUGUGCUAAUAGACGUGAAGUUGAAUAUUUGAGCUCCUCGGUGGUGAGACGUUAACUACUUUGCCUGGUAUACAGGAGGCCAUGGGUUCAAUCCCGACCCUGGUACCUGUAUAUUUGGAGUUUGCAUGUUCUCCCCGUGGUCGUGUGUAUUGUCCUCUGGGUCUGCCGGUUUUCCCCUCCACAUUUAGAAUCAGCAUGCGUUUAGAAUAUUUGGCUGCUAUAAAUUGGGCUAUCACUUGUGGACAGAUCGCUUCUGAAAAAGAGCUAUAUAGCUCAGUGCACCUUGUCUGGUAAAGUAAAACAUCGUUGAGUUGUAAUAUUGCUAAAGUAGAAUGUAGGCUGUAGAGACUAGACAUUGAGUGCAAGUCACUCCAUACUUGGGCUUUUCAAGCCUUCGGCGUUCCACGUUGCCUUAAUUUGUACAUAAAUUGUGUGUGUGUCUAAGAGAUUGAAUGUGGAUUUGUACACGUAUACGUUUGGCAUCGGUGUCUUUGGGUGGCACAUUUGCAAAAUGCAUAACUGCACAGUGUGUCCUCAAAAUUAUGUGGUAAACCAUGACUCUAAAUAGAGCAGGGGUUUUUAGGGACAACUAUGUCAAAAGAAAUUGAAAAUCGCGCUCACGAAGCUGAAAUUGAACAGUGCGCAGACCAAUGUCAAGUCGUUUGCUGCAAUUCCACGUUGCGCAGAAAUGUCACGAGCGAAGCAGUCCCAGUUUGGUUUUGUACUUAACAGCUGCUACUUUGUCCAGUGCAGAAUUGCCUUGUGAUAUUCAGUGUUGUUUUUUUCUCUCUUUUAUAUUUCUAUUUAUAUUAUUAAAUAAAAGAGCAAUACUGGAUAUGCGGCGUUCCAAGCUCUAAAUGGGCUAAAUUGGUCUUCAUGGAAAUACCAGGGUUUUGUUAAGAAAAUGUAUAUACUAUGGCACUGCACCACUGAAUUAGCCUGGAAUUUCAAGGACACGUUGUGUAUGUGUUUGGGGGUAAGUGGGGGGCGGGGGGGAGUUACUGUAUUUGUUUUUGGCAUCUAAAUUAAUAUACAAUUUUGGCGAAUCGUUUAACACAUUUAUCAAUAUUAAGUGAACGUGUUUGUGCAUCCCAGUGUGGGAAUUGUGUGUAUUGAUUUCAUAUACAGGCUCUCCGUAAAGUCCUAUUACCCCAAGGUCACUUUCAGUUUCUGUUGUGUUUGCCUCUGCAUGUUAUGUUGGUUAAAGUCAAGGUAAUGGCAGAUAUGAGCAGCCUGUCAUGCGGUAAUGUUAUAAAGAAUUAUCCUGUCAUGAGAAUGAUGGUGACAAACUGACCUCUGGACAACAGUUAAAGGUGAAUUCUGUGAUCGUGUGAAUUUUGUCUCAAGUGGCUCAUAAUAUAUUUUCAACAAUCAUUGAAUAUGAUCAUACCGAUAUAAACUGUGUGGAGUGGUGCUGCUGUGGUGUGCACACUCGACGAGUUUUAACCUUUGACAAGGUUACCAUCAUUUGAGAGUGAACUCUGCACCAGUCCUGGCCACCCCUUUCACCAUCCCCACACUGACCAGUGUGGUGAAGUAUGGCCCAACAACCCCCAGUGACAAUUACGAUGUGAAGCAGCCUUUAUCUAACAGUGGAUUUGUGACACCGUGGACAUUGUGAGUCCAGUGUGUACGUGGGUUUGAUUGGUUGAAAUGAAACGUGCUGCAAAAUACCUUUGGCAGGUCACAUUACACUGGUCAACACACUUUUUCUGGCACAAGGUAUUCCAACGGUUUUAAGGUAAUUUUGGGGUGCUGAUUCCAAAUCUGGCAUCAGUUUUUGUCUAUCACAUCAGGUUUUUGAGAUGUUAAAUAUUGCAUUUUCAAUAAAAACUGCAGAAGAAAAAUAUAAAAUAAAUGUGGAUAUCUACAUAAAAUUAUAUUAUAAACACACUAUCCUAAAAAUACAGCACUAUAUUUUAACACUAAAGCAGUCACUGACUCGCAACAACUUGCAAUCAUAAGUGACAGAGUUAAUUUCGGGUAAAAUCAAUGAAAAUGGGGUAUGCCGAUAGCAUAAAAUGAGAUGUGAUAGAGAAAAUCUGAGAUCAGAUUUGGAAUCAGCACCCUGAAAUUAGUCUAAAACAGCUGCAAAAGUCUAGGCCAGAAAAAAUGUUUUUUUUGUUGACCAGUGUUAUCAGACACCUCGGUCACUAAUCGUGCGAAUAAGCCCCUUCACCAUCCUGGGCUCCAUGUUCCCCCCAUGACCGCGUGGAUUUUUCUCCGCGUCCUCCGAUUGUUCCCUCAUUUAGAAUCAACGUGCAUUCCGAGUAUUUGGCUGAUAUACAUUUCCACAUGAUAAUCCACUUCGUUGAGUUAUCAUUUGUGGCCAGCUCGCUUCUGGAAAAGAGCUACAUAGCUCAGUAGCCCUUACGUGGUAAAAAAAACAUGAGUUUCGUUUAGUUUGGGAAAGGGCCGGAAAUAUUUUCAAUGUAUGUUUAUUCAAUCAAUAUACCAAUGUGUUUUUAGUGCAAAGUUCGUUACCAUGUUGUUGAUCGUGGUAUGCAAGCUUUUUGAUAUAUUUGUGUGAAGUGUACACAUUUGAUAUACAGUACAUAGCAAGUGCUAGAUAUCGAAAUGAUUAAUUUACUUAAGUGUGGUUUUCGCCAAUGCUUUCGUUUGUGUUUUAGAGUGUAUGUAUUAACACCUUUUGUAACCUAUCCAUGGAGAACUGUUAUUGUAUAACCAUAGCCGUCAUCCUAAUGCGUGUUAGAAUGUGUGUUCCACAGUACUGUCUUGUGAAAUAAAAUAUACAGCGGUUGAAA